rnacentral:rRNA from 1 species
UACGAAGGGGGCUAGCGUUGCUCGGAAUGACUGGGCGUAAAGAGCGCGUAGGCGGUCUGUUAAGUGAGAAGUGAAAUCUCCAGGGCUCAACCCGGAAACUGCUUUUCAUACUGGCAGACUUGAGGGAUGCAGAGGUGAAUGGAAUUCCUGGUGUAGCGGUGAAAUGCGUUGAUAUCAGGAGGAACACCCAUGGCGAAGGCAGUUCACUGGGCAUCAUCUGACGCUGAGGCGCGAAAGCGUGGGUAGCAAACAGG